GCUCUGGAGAGAGAGGGGGGGGGGAGAGGGAGGGAACGAGAGCGAGAGAGAGAGAAUGAGGACCGUGGUGUGCUGAAUCGAUUCCGUCUGUAAAGUCACGUCACACACUGACUCAAAUAUUGAUGUUUAGUUUAAGUUUAAGGAUCCGACUGCCCUUUGUCCCUUCAGAGAUAGCGAUUUAUUUACUGUACGGAUUGCGUUGGACAACCCGGCUCUGGGAGUAUUAUGGGAUGCCGCCCUGUGUCAGGACUGUGGCGUCCCCCCGCUGUGUGCUGGCUCCACAGGAGCGUUUGGACCUCCAGGGUUUUGCUACUGGACCUUAUGGGGUCCCGGUGGGGGAGGCUUCCUCUAGCCGCUGAGUGCUGGCAGACUGGGACUUCUGGACCUGUGUGUGUGCUGGUCGCAGGCCCGCCGCUCCCUAUACGCAGAGUACGCAGAGUGCGUAGGGCACCAAGUACCUGAGGGGGGCACCAAAAAUUAAGGGCGCUGAAAUGGCCAGCAGCGGCCCUGGGUGGUCGUGUUGGGGAAUGAAGAACCCCCGGACUGGACCCGCCCUCACCUGGGGAGGACAGAACUGAGACGCAGCUACGUGAGCGGCUGAACACGCGUUGGAGCGUAACGGCUUCGUGAGGCCGGGGAUGCUCCCCAGCCUCCCGUUGGUGGUGCGGGUCAACGUGGGCGUGGUGUGUGGAGGACGGCUGGUCGAGGCAGCCUCACCUGGCCGGGUCUGACAGGAGUCUGGGGCUGGUGAGGCGGCACACCUGUGGUGCGUUGAGUAAUCAGAGGGCAACAGGUUAAAGCAGCCGUCAACACACACGCAGAGAGUUCUCCUCGGUGGAAACAUGGAAUGAAUGAAUGAAUGAAUGAAUGCAUUUUAUCGGUCAUAACCAAAGGGUAAGGGCAGAAGCUUCAGCUUAUAUCGAGUACCAAACAAAAUGUCAUACGUACAGUGUGUUUGCAUAUACAUGCAUACACUUACCUACAUAAAGACACAUACACGCCUACAUAUACCUAUUAGGGUCAAUACUUCUAUCCCGUAAAUUUCCACCAUAAGAUGGAUAAUAUCCUAAAUAAAGAUCAAAUCAAAUCAAAUUGAUUUGAUUUAUUUAUAUUUAUGGAUGAUAUCCAUGAUGAGAAUAACGCUGUUGAUCACCAUCACCCUUAUCAGCAUUCUCAUAGCGUGAUACUACCGGUACCAGGCCCUGGAUCAGUACCACCAGACCUCCACAAUGCACCGGUCCACCAACACUCCCAGCCUGGGCCCUUGGCCUGCAGGAGCCCAGCAGAAGCCCCCUAGCUGGAGGGUAGACCGGACCUGGAUGCAGUCACUUCUUAGAAACAUUUUCAAAUUUAAUGAGAUGAGACAUAUCAAACAGUAGAUAAGAUUGUAAUCGUAUAUUAUUGAUCUAUUAUUGGGAUUCUGGUCACUAAAGAUCACACACAAAAGGCUUUGGUCUCUUCAGUUUAUGUACAAAUACUACUAAACUGAGUACUGCUACUUUGUGUGUACUUUGUUUUAUAUUUAUUAUGUGUAUAUAUGUACAGUAUGUAUGUAAUACAUACUGUACUACAUACAGUAUGUAUUACAUACAUGGCAGAUGUCAGACAUUAGAUAUAAACUUGCCUCCUCUCUGGUUAAAGCGCUCCUUCUGAGUCUUAAGCAUGCCUUGGAAGUCCUGCUGAUGACUCACUAAGUAUCCAGUUUCCCUCUCCAGGUAGUCGGGGUCCUCUCUGGUGAGCUGGUCCACCCGGGCCGGUUUGGGGACAAUUCUCUGGGUGUUGCUGUCAAAGUGAAAAAACUGAACCUCAUCCAUCGUCCCAACCGCAACAAACUCUGGGAAGGAGAGAGUCCAGACGACGCCAUCAUAAGACAUCUGAUAUCAGGACGCUAGUGGAGGAAGAUCAUCAAAGAUAUGAACUCUGGUCACACUAAGCCCAAUAACUUCACUAAAUGAAAGGACCUAACCUAUAAACAGCGUAUAUAGAGAAUAUUUUCAGAUUUUUUGGGGGAUUAUAUUGACCAAAUAACCCCAAACAAGAGUACAGCGAUUUUUACAUUUGGAUUAAUAUUUAAUCCAAUUCCAAUUUUUUUGUAAAAAUACAAAAAAAAACUAUUCAUGCUAGAGCAGCCUAGCUCGAUUGUGCUAGCCGUUGUUGCAAGGUCGUGCUGCCAUGGUUUCCAAGCAUCAGUGAAAGAUUAGGCAGGUUUAAGCCAGCUAACUUAAUCAAAUCUAUCACAAAUACAGCGAUCUAAUUGAUUUACAAUUUUUACGGAUAAAUGGUUGUUAUCAAGAUAAAGUUAAGUAUGAAUGUUAUUGUUAUUAAGCAAAUAUAGCAUCUUUAGUUAGCUGAAGUUUGUAAGGAUUAUAAAUGAACUGCGAUCCACUGCAUCCUGGUUUAGGAAGCUGAACGUGAGAAGCAUCUUCAUGAUUUAACUACAAACCUUAACAGCAAGAAAGUACAAGUCAGCAUUAAACAUUAAACACAUUAUCAAUGUGAUGUUGUACUGUUAAUAUAUUACUGUGAUGAUGCACUGUUAACAUAUGACUGUUAAUGUUAAUCUAUUAGCGUGAUGAAGUACUGUUAGAAUAUUACUGUGAUGAAGUACUGUUCAAAUAUGAUUGUUAAUCUAUUAAGGUAUGGCCACACAGAACGCAUUACGCGCGUAACGCGCCUAGCCUGCCGCUUGAUCAU